rnacentral:rRNA from 1 species
UACAGAGGUCUCAAGCGUUGUUCGGAUUCAUUGGGCGUAAAGGGUGUGUAGGUGGCGCGCUAAGUCGGGUGUGAAAUUUCGGAGCUUAACUGCGAAACUGCAUUCGAUACUGCCGUGCUUGAGGACUGGAGAGGAGACUGGAAUUUACGGUGUAGCGGUGAAAUGCGUAGAUAUCGUAAGGAAGACCAGUGGCGAAGGCGGGUCUCUGGACAGUUCCUGACGCUGAGGCACGAAGGCCAGGGGGAGCAAACGGG